rnacentral:rRNA from 1 species
UGAGCAAUCUGCCCUUCUCUUCGGAAUAAGCGUUGGAAACGACGUCUAAUGCCGAAUAUGACCUCCUUUCGCAUGAUCGGAGGUGGAAAGCUCCGGCGGAGAGGGAUGAGCUCGCGGCCUAUCAGCUAGUUGGUGUGGGUAAUGGCCCACCAAGGCGACGACGGGUAGCCCGGCCUGAGGAGGGUGACCGGCCACACGUGGGACUGAGACACCGGCCCAGACCUCCGUAACGGGAGCAGG